ensembl:lncRNA
GUGUGGUUUGUACUGAUGGAGUUGUUUGUACAUGAUGGAGUCUGUUUGUACAUGAUGGAGUCUGUUUGUACAUGAUGGAGUCUUUGUACACGAUGGAGUCUUUGUACAAGAUGGAGUCUUUGUACAAGGAGUCUGUUUGUACAUGAUGGAGUCUGUUUGUACAUGAUGGAGUCUGUUUGUACAUGAUGGAGUCUGCUGGUACAUGGAGUUGUUUGUACAUAUGAUGGAGUCUGCUGGUACAUGAGUUAGUCUGUUUGUACAUGAAUGGAGUUCGUUUGUACUGAUGGAGUCUUUUGUACUGAUGGAGUCUUUUGUACAUGAUGGAGUCUGUUUGUAUCAGAUGGAGUCUGUUUGUACAAGAUGGAGUCUGUUUGUACAUGAUGGAUCUGUUUGUACUGAUGGGAGUCUGUUUGUACAUGAUGGAGUCUGUUUGUACAUGAUGGAGUCUGUUGUACAUGAUGGGUCUGUUUUACAUGAUGGAGUUGUUUGUACAGGAUGGAGUCUGUUUGUACAGGAUGGGUCUGUUUGUACAGGAUGGGUCGUUUUGACAGGAUGGAGUCUGUUUGUACAGGAUGGAGUCUGUUUGUACACGAUGGAGUUGCUUGUACCGAUGGAGUCUUUGUACACGAUGGAGUCUUUGUACAGGAGGACGUUGUACAGGAUGGGAGUCUUUGUACACGAUGGAGUCUGUUUGUUACACGUGAUGUCUGUUUGUACACGAUGGAGUCUUUGUACACGAUGGAGUCUGUUUGUACACGAUGAGUCUGUUUGUACAGAUGGAGUCUGUUUGUACAAGAUGGGAGUCUGUUUGUACAAGAUGGAGUCUGUUUGUACAAGAUGGAGUCUGUUUGUACAGAUGGAGUCUGUUGUACACGAGGAGUAUGUUUGUACAUGAGAGUCUGGUACAUGGAGUCUGUUUGUACAUGAUGGAGUCUGUUUGUACAUGAUGUCUGUCUGUUUGUUACAUGAUGGAGUCUGUUUGUCAUGCUGGCUAGUCUGUUUGUACCCUGCUGGAGUCUGUUUGUACAGGGAUUGGAGGUCUGUUUGUACACGUAGGUCGUUUGUACAAGAUGAGUCUUUGUCAAGAUGGAGUCUUUGUACAAG